GCGAGGCGCGGGGAGCGCAAUGUGCUGGCGGGGGCCGGGGCUGGGGCCCGGGGAGGCCACCAGGGCGGGGCCGGGCGCGGGGCGGCGCUUCUUUGCGUCCGUGGGGCGCUGUGCGUCUCCGAGAACGAAGCGGUCUCGCAGGCGUGCGGCCUCUGGGUUCGUGUGCUCCGAGCCCGAGGACCGUUUGCGGCCGCCGUCCCGUCCUGGAGCAGGAGUGAGGAGGCGCCUCUCACUUUCCUGCGAACCCGCAGAACAGGCGGCCGGCGCUGGGGAGACCGGCGGAGCUUCCCGCUCCUUCACCAAGUGGCCCUGACGCGCAGUUGAAAGCGUGGAUUUUGCCGGGCGCGGCGGCUACGUCCGGAGUCCCAGCGCCUUGGGAGGCGAGGCGGGAGGAUCCCCACGGCUCGGGAGCUCGAGACCAGCCUGGGCAAAUAUUUUGAAAGUCAUGAAGCUCUCAGUGGGCAGUGGAGACCCUGCCAUCUCCUGAACACAUCCAGCGGCCACAUGACUAAGCAAAGGCGGCGGAGAGUGGAUGGACGGUGAUGGACGCGGCCACGGAGCCCGAGUGCCCACAAUGCGCAUUCCUGUCUUUUCUCUCCCCGCUCACCUCAGAGCGGGACGGAAGGUGGGACCGGGAGAGCUGUUCUCGGGCAGGUGGAUGCUGUGGAUUAGCGGAGAGGGAAGGCACUUUCGUUCUCGGCACCGUGAGGCUGUCCUGGUCAAUCCUGUUUUCAUGCUUGAGGGUCUCUGGUGCAGCAGCUCCACCAGCCUUGACACCAGGACUUCUGUGGAAUCCAGACGGAGUCACGCUCUGUCACCCAGGCUGGAGUGCAGUGGUGUGAUCUCGGCUCACUGCAACCUCUGCCCGCCGAGUUCAAGCGAUUCUUCUGCCUCAGCCUCCUGACAAGUGGGGAUUACAGGCGCCGGCCACCACGCCCAGGCUAAUUUUUUGUUUAGUAGAGGUCGAGUUUCACCAUGUUGGCCGGGCUGGUCUUGAACUCCUGACCUCAGGUGACCACCCCCUCCCAGCCUCCCAAAGUGCUGGGAUUACAGGUGUGAGCCACCAUGCCCAGCUUACGCCUGGUUAACUCUUAAUGACCAAAAUCAAAGUACAGAUGAAAAAGACGAUAAUCUGGGAAGUCACAUUGCUGAGGUCUGAGAGUCAUGACUCCACUGCCACCGGGGAGGCGCAGCAGAGGGCAGCACCUGGAUGAUGAGACCCAGUGCAGGAGGCGCAGCACAGAGCGGUCACCAUCCUUCCCCGGUUCACCGGGAAGCUUGCUCCCCCUCCUUCUGUAUUCCUGGCAAAUGACAACGGGCAAAGCGAAGCGUGGGCCAAGGACGGAGGAGGCGGUGCCGCGCGUCUGCCGUGGUCACAAGCUACAGAAGUUUGCUUCACUCCUGCCAGAAACCGGCAGGACAGUAGAAUUCUCUUAAAGCACGUGUUGAAGAGAGUGUGUAAUAACAUGAGAUUAAAAAGUUACUGCCAAACGACAAAAUAUAAAUAUUAAAAUGAAGCUUCCAAUGAAUAUGAAAAUCUUUACCAAAAAAUAGUUUAUUGCACAAAAUUUAAGGAAUUCCCAAGCACACUUACAUUUGUAAAAAAUCAACGUGCUUUUUAAAGUUACACUUUGUCAGACACGGUGACCCCUUUCCCAAGAACAGCCACAACUUGAGGACUUUCUUUUGUGAGGAAAUUUUUAAUAAAAACAAGUAACUCAAAAGCACUGAAUUUUCCAGACCCUCUAACACAUUUCCCUCCGGAUCCUGUGAGAGCCUGAGAUCACUUAUGACAAGAUUCACCAGGACCUUCCGGUCAGUGAGCUCAGAACACCUCACACCACAGAGUCACUCAAGUCCCUCCUCACAUCAGAGGGCUCCUCGAAGGGAGGCCCCAGGACGGUUCUCUCAGAUUUGCUCGUCCCUCCCCUCCUAGAAUCUUCACGUACAACAUUCUGUUUUUGUUUGUAAAGACCUCAGGGAACUAGGACUCUAUGUUGUGGGAACCCUGGACCAAGGAGAGUUGAGGGCCAGCUCCUUAGGGCAGUGCAGCACAGCACGGACUGUGUUCUGGUGGGCAGGGCCCCUGCUGGACCCACCCAAGGAGAGUCCAUUUCACAUCCUAUCAAAAACACUGCCUGAUCCAUAUUGCAGAGUGGGAACGGGUGUGAGUCCGUAAGACCCGUAGCAUCAGUCUCACAUAUACCACGGAAAAACACAUGAAAACCAAGUUACAUUGUUUUUGGAACGUCAGAAAAACAAGUAGUGACAUCGUGAAGCGCCCUAGCCUGUUGUGACACACAGCGUGGGGAUGAACACGCCACAUAAUGCGCUGGUGACCCUGUUUUCUAAGCAGUACUCCCAACUUCACCGCCUUUUCAGGGAGGAUAUUCCAUCAUUCCCACUUCUGCCCACAAGAACAAAAUAAUUCAAACUUUACGCACUGAAGUAACUCUGGGAGGUAGAAGUGCCGGGACAGUCCCUUGGAGAUAAGAAAAAAACCUCAACAAUAAAAAAAAGCAAUUUAAAAAUCCAACUUCAGCCGGGGGCGGUGGUUCACGCCUAUAAUUCCAGCACUUUGGGAGGCUGCGGAUCAGGAUCACCUGAGGUCAAGAGUUCAAGACCAGCCUGGCCAACAUGGUGGAACUCCACCCCUCUAAAAAUACAAAAAUUAGUCUGGUGUGGUGGUGGGCACCUGUAAUCCCAGCUACUGGGGAGAAUGAGGCAGGAGAAUCGCUUGAACCCGGACGGCAGAGCUUGCAGUGAGCAGAGAUCACGCCACUGCACUCCAGCCUGGGCGACAGAGCGAGACUCUGUCUCAAAAAAAAAAAAAAAAAAAAUUCCAACUUCCUCUUUUAGGCGUCUUCUUAAGGAAGGAAGCCUGAAGGCAGUGUCCGCGUGAACACGAGAGGCCUCAGAUCCAGCAGCACAAGCCGUGCAUGAAAACACCAAAAGACUCACUGCAGGGAGCAAAGGCAGCCAGGCCCUGCCAAACCAGAGGGGGCCCCGGCACCGGCGGCCACAGAGCGCUGGGGGAGGCAUCGCACCCGAGGGUGCACACGCAGGAAAACCGGGGUGAGAACAUAGAGCUACUUUUCCUUCGGUAUUUUCAGAAUUAGUCUGUCCUAAGAGAAAAAAAAAUACAUGGUGAACAUCACUCGAGGACUUUCCAUAAGCAAGGAGAAGUCGCUCCCCACUGAAUGUGUGAUUUCUCAAUUUUAGAUUUUUUUUAAAUCAUUUAUUUAUUUAUUUUUGAGACGGAGUCUC